CCCCGGGAAUGUGAUGAAGGGGGCGUGGUUACGGCAGGGAAUGGGCCGACUUUUUGCUAAUAGUCGAAAUAAAAGCGGUUUUAAAGAAACUGCUGUGUGUCGGACCCUGUGCUAGGCACAACACGGGGAGAUGAUGUGGCGUUCGCUCCAGCUGGAGAGGUGUGGCGUACAGAAGGCGGGGAGGUUGAUGUCUAAGGAACGGAUGGAGGGUCGUGGGCCUGAGGUAGAGGUCCUGAGGAAAGAGCAAUGCCCAGUGGCAGCCCGAUCCCAUCAGGACUGCUGGAAGCAGUUGUGGGCCUCGGGAGGAGAAACUGUCUGCAGAGGAAGAGCCUUACACACAGCCUGGAGCCUCCCGAAACAGCAGUCUUCAGGAUAGAGAACCACAGAAAAAUGAUGCAACACCCAACUUCACAAACAUGACAAAGUUUACACAUCGCUGUCCAAAAGCCAGAGUCACAAUUAAUCAGGACACCUAAGUUAUUCUCAUUAAAGUUAGGUAUUCCAUAA